rnacentral:rRNA from 1 species
UUGGGAUAGCUUCAGGAAGCUGGGGCUAAUACCGGAUAGGAGCUCCUGCUGCAUGGUGGGGGUUGGAAAGUUUCGGCGGUUGGGGAUGGACUCGCGGCUUAUCAGCUUGUUGGUGGGGUAGUGGCUUACCAAGGCUUUGACGGGUAGCCGGCCUGAGAGGGUGACCGGCCACAUUGGGACUGAGAUACGGCCCAG